GAGAGAGAGAGAGAGAAGAGAGAGCGAAGAGGUCUGAGAGUGAGAAGAGGAGGAGCAGAAAAUAGAGAGCAAAACUGGAGAAAUACUCCACAAUUUUUCACAAAAAACCACCUGAUUUCGUCAACAUUUACGAAUUGGCCCCAAACUUUUCCCGCUUUCGCUCUCAAAUUGAUCUAAAUGAGCCGUUUAGGGUUUAAGUCCGUGGUCUUCCACGGCGACCUGUGUUUGGGAGAACUGGAUGCUAUUCCGGUGAAGGACCAGAAGUUCCAGUUCCCAAACAAUGAGAUUCGAAUCAACCGCAUAUCGCAACAAAGCGAACGAUGUCCUCCUCUCUCAAUUCUCCAAACGAUUUCGUCAUUUUCGGUUCGAUGCAAGCUCGAAUCGACCUCCCCUGUUGAACAGCCCCAUUUGAUCAAUCUUCACGCCUGCUGCUUCUACGAGUUCAAGACUGCGGUUGUAGUGGUUGGUGGUGAAGAGAUUCACUUGGUGGCAAUGCCGAGUAAGCAGAAGAAGUUUCCAUGCUUUUGGUGCUAUGCGGUUCCUGUAGGUCUGUACAGUGCUUCACUACGAAUGCUGAAUCUAAGGUGUCUCUCAAUUGUGUUUGAUCUCGACGAGACGCUGAUUGUUGCCAACACCAUGAAGUCUUUUGAUGAUAGAAUUGAGGCCUUACGAAGCUGGAUUGCACGCGAGAGUGACAUGGUGAGAAUAGCUGGAAUGUCUGCUGAAAUGAAGCGGUACAUGGACGAUCGGUGGCUGUUGAAGCAGUACAUAGAUAAUGAUUGUGUGGUGGAUAAUGGAAAGGUGUACAAGGUUCAACAGGAGGAUGUUCCUCCGCUGUCUGAUAACCACGAGAAAAUUGUUCGGCCUAUCAUUAGAUUGCCAGAUAAGAACAUUGUGCUCACUCGCAUCAAUCCCGAGAUUCGUGAUACCAGCGUGCUUGUGAGGUUACGACCUGCGUGGGAAGAUUUGAGAAGUUAUUUAACUGCAAAAGGACGCAAGCGGUUUGAAGUUUAUGUCUGUACCAUGGCUGAAAGGGAUUAUGCCUUAGAAAUGUGGAGGCUUCUUGAUCCAGAGUCACACCUAAUAGGUUCAAAGCAACUUCUGGACCGUGUUGUUUGUGUCAAAACAGGCUCCAGGAAAUCUUUACUCAAUGUCUUUCAACAUGGAGUGUGCCAUCCAAAGAUGGCAAUGGUAAUUGAUGACCGUUCAAAGGUUUGGGAAGAUAAUGAUCAAUCUCGAGUUCAUGUAGUUCCAGCAUUCACUCCUUAUUAUGCUCCUCAAGCAGAGACAGCAAGUCCCGUUCCCGUCCUCUGUGUUGCAAGAAAUGUUGCAUGCAAUGUCAGAGGUUGUUUUUUCAAAGAGUUUGAUGAGAUUUUACUGCGAAGAAUUUCUGAAGUUUUUUAUGAAGAUGAGGUGGUAAAUUUACCUCCUGCUCCUGAUGUGAGCAAUUACUUGAUGUCUGAGGAUGCUGGUUUGGCAACCAAUGGAAAUGUUAAUGCUCCUGUUAGUGAAGGAAUGAAUGGCGGUGAAGUUGCAAGGAGAAUAAACCAAUCUGAUGACAAGUUUGGUACAGACUCAGUGGCUCAUUCUCUGAAAAAUCAUGCUGAGGCAAGAUCUGACAACUCUCCGGCACCUGUUGCAAUUCUUCCCAAUGUCGUUGGUGCAGCAUCUUCGAGGCCAGUCAUGCCUUCUCAGAAACCUGGUUUGCUCGGACCUCCUGUUAGACGAGACAGCUUUUCUGAUCGUGACUAUGAAAUGAAGAGAGGACUCCUUGGUACAAAUCCUGGUCUAGAUAUGAGAAAUCAAACCUCUGCUGAACUCCCGCAUCUAUCUAGGAUACCUGCACAAAUGCCAGCAUCAUCAAUACAUGCACAAGGGGGAUGGUUGGUGGAUGACGAUAACAAUAGAGGACCUCCGAGUAAUCGACCUUCUGGGUUUGUUCAGCCGCCUGACAUCAUAAAGUCUGAAAAGCUAGUUCACCAGAAUCCUUUUAGUCCUGCUACACCAAGUUCUACUCCCAGUGGUCCGAGUAAUCGACCUUCUGGGUUUGUUCAACCGCCUGACAUCAUAAAAUCUGAAAAGCUAGUUCACCAGAAUCCUUUUAGUCCUGCUACACCAAGUUCUACUCCCAGUGGUUUGCUCUCACACAAAUCUGAUGUGAAAAGGGAAGAGGUAUGCUCUGGACAAGAUUUACAAAAACAAAAUCUUCCUCCUCCAAGUCAGCUAUCAGAGGCUGGUGCAUCCCAGAAUCAGGCAUCUUCUUUUAAUAGAGAAUCUCAAUUAGAAUCUGCAAAAGUGAACCUCCUGCCGUCCCCUUUAUCUAUUGGAGUGCUGCAGGAAAUUGGACGAAGAUGCAGCUCAAAGGUUGAGUUCAGGUCUGUUGUAAGCACCAGUAAUGAUUUGCAGUUCUCUGUUGAGGUUCUCUUCACUGGAGAGAAGAUUGGUUUUGGAAUGGGUAGGACGAGGAAGGACGCUCAACAACAGGCUGCUGAGAAUGCUCUUCACAGCUUGGCUGAUAAAUAUGUAGCGUAUCUCGCACCUCGUUCUGGAGCUGUGGACAGAGAUAUUGAUAAAGUCUCGGUCGGGAAUGAAAAUGGAUUUGUAUUGGACAUCGUCGGUCCUGAAUUGACUGAGCUGCUAAGGGAAGAUGGAAUGCCUAAAGAAAGCACUUCUGAGGUGGGGAUUUUUGAUCAUGCUUUCAGUAGUUGAUUUGAUUUUCUAUGUUCAAAAACAUAGGUGAUGCUUGGAUAAAGGGUAUGUGGGCAAGACAUUUCCAGAUGUGGGGCAGUGGUUUUUUACAAGGAAAACCACUCCUAUUUUUGAAUUUUGCAUCUCACGAAGAUGUGAUGGCUAAAACACUGAAAGCGGAGUGAGCUGGCUUCAUGUGUGCUACUGCUGCCUUAGAGGCUCCAUUAAUUCCUGUUUUGAAAGGCUGCUGAAGUUGAACCUGGAAGUACUUAUAUUACGGUGAGUCAGCAAGUUCAAAAGCGUGCAAGUUCUCCAAGAUUGCUACAGUCUCUUCCAAAUAAACGAUUAAAGGAAGAAAUAUUGCAUGGCUCACAAAGUUUAUCAUCUUCACGGCCGCAGAAGAAUGUACCUUCAGACAAACCUUGACACUAAAGUUAUAUUAAUCAAGGCUUCCACUAGUGCAUUCUUCCCCCUCCAUUGAGAAAUGAAACGAUGGUCUCGGCGAGGUCCUGUGGCUCCAUCUCUACCCAGCAUCCAGAUUUUGUAACUAGUCAGUAGUUUUGGGAAACCAAAGGAACGAAAAAGGAAAAGGAGAUGGGUCGGCAUUUACGGCAAUGGAUAUUACCAAGGUGAAUAUGUGUAAUUUUGUCUGUGGAAAGGUGGGCUAUUUUUUUGACAUCUUGCCCCAUCUUUUCUCGCUUACAGAAUGGAAAACUGAGGUUGGAGAUGUUUAUAUCUCUGAUUCAUCAGGUCAUCUUGGCUUUCACAUGAAUAUAUAGUUAUAUGCUUUUUAACCCUUUGAAACUUUAGCGUAAAUUAGAAUGAAUACAAGGGUUUCUGCA